rnacentral:rRNA from 1 species
GACGAGGGCGCGAGCGUUGUCCGGAUUUAUUGGGCGUAAAGAGCUCGUAGGCGGCUUGUUGCGUCAGCUGUGAAAACCCGCAGCUCAACUGUGGGCUUGCAGCUGAUACGGGCAGGCUAGAGGUAGGUAGGGGAGAAUGGAAUUCCCGGUGUAGCGGUGAAAUGCGCAGAUAUCAGGAGGAACACCGGUGGCGAAGGCGGGUCUCUGGGCCGAUACUGACGUGGAGGAGCGAAAAGCGUGGGGGAGC